UACGUAGGGGGCGAGCGUUGUCCGGAUUUAUUGGGCGUAAAGAGCGUGUAGGCUGUUCGGUAAGUCUGCCGUGAAAACCUGAGGCUCAACCUCGGGCGUGCGGUGGAUACUGCCGGGCUAGAGGACGGUAGAGGCGAGUGGAAUUCCCGGUGUAGCGGUGAAAUGCGCAGAUAUCGGGAGGAACACCAGUAGCGAAGGCGGCACUCUGGGCCGGUACUGGACGCUGAGGAGCGAAAGCGUGGGGAGCGAACAGG
rnacentral:rRNA from 1 species